rnacentral:pre_miRNA from 1 species
AUAUAGGGCAAUAAAUCUUUAAGAAAGGAUAAAUUAUUCUAAAGGAAAUGAAUCCUAGAAUGUUUUCCCUUCAAGUCAACCACUCUGU